AUACGGAGGGGGCUAGCGUUGUUCGGAAUUACUGGGCGUAAAGCGCGCGUAGGCGGGCUGGUUAGUUGGGGGUGAAAUCCCAGGGCUCAACCCCGGAAGUGCAUUGGAUACUGCCUGGCUAGAGGACGAGAGAGGAAAGCGGAAUUCCUGGUGUAGGGGUGAAAUCCGUAGAUAUCAGGAGGAACAUCAGAGGCGAAGGCGGCUUUCUGGCUCGUUACUGACGCUGAGACGCGAAAGCGUGGGGAGCAAACAGGAUUAGAUACCCCGGUAGUCC
rnacentral:rRNA from 1 species